rnacentral:rRNA from 1 species
UAGGAGUUCGAUCAUGGCUCAGAACGAACGUUGGCGGCGUGGAUGAGGCAUGCAAAGUCGAACGUGAAAACCCUCGGGUGAGUAGCGUGGCGGACGGGCGAGUAACACGUAAUCAAGCUACCUGCCAGACGGGGAUAACUUCGGGAAACCGAUCGUAAAACCCGAUGGUCUUAGAACAUCGCAUGGUGCUCUAAGUAAAUGGACGGGACCCUCCGGGGCCGUCUGCUGGCGGAGGUGAUUGCGGCCCAUCAGCUUGUUGGUAGGGUAAUGGCCUACCAAGGCUACGACGGGUAGCCGGCCUAAGAGGGUGGCCGGUCGCACUGGGACUGAGACACUGCCCAGACUCCUACGGGAGGCUGCAGUCGAGAACCUUCCGCAAUGGACGAAAGUCUGACGGAGCGACGCCGCGUGGAGGACGAAGGCCUUCGGGUUGUAAACUCCUGUCACGAGUUAAGAAGUGUAUAUGACGAAUAGUUGUAUGCAUUGACGAAGGCUCGAGAGGAAGCACUGGCUAACUCUGUGCCAGCAGCCGCGGUAAUACA